rnacentral:tRNA from 3 species
GCCGAGGUGGCGAAAUUGGUAGACGCGCUGGUCUUAGGAACCAGUGGGGCAACCCUUGAGAGUUCGAGUCUCUCCCCCGGCACCA